rnacentral:siRNA from 1 species
GUAGUAUUUUAGGUGUCAAUCCA